GGAGCAUUGGCCGAGUAGGAAGGCGCCGGUUUGCUAAACCGUGGCCGUGUGGCAACGCACGCGCAGGUGCGAUCCCUGCAUGCUCCUCCA
rnacentral:tRNA from 1 species